AUUGAUGCGCAGCUACCAUGCAGUCGACGAAGUCUUCGGACUUAGUGGCAGACGGGUGAGUAACGCGUGGGAAUCUACCCAGUUCUCUGGAAUAACUGAUGGAAACGUCAGCUAAUACCGGAUACGCCCUUUUGGGGAAAGAUUUAUCGGGAUUGGAUGAGCCCGCGUAAGAUUAGCUAGUUGGUGGGGUAAUGGCCUACCAAGGCGACGAUCUUUAGCUGGUCUGAGAGGAUGAUCAGCCACACUGGGACUGAGACACGGCCCAGACUCCUACGGGAGGCAGCAGUGGGGAAUAUUGGACAAUGGGGGCAACCCUGAUCCAGCCAUGCCGCGUGAGUGAUGAAGGCCUUAGGGUUGUAAAGCUCUUUCACCGGUGAAGAUAAUGACGGUAACCGGAGAAGAAGCCCCGGCUAACUUCGUGCCAGCAGCCGCGGUAAUACGAAGGGGGCUAGCGUUGUUCGGAAUUACUGGGCGUAAAGCGCACGUAGGCGGAUAUUUAAGUCAGGGGUGAAAA
rnacentral:rRNA from 1 species